rnacentral:lncRNA from 1 species
GGAGGACACCAAAUAAAUUCAAGACUCUCCAUUUAGACAUUUUAAAAUUUAGUUGUAUUGUAAUUUCAAUUGUUAAAACUUUUUAGACAAACUCUUUGCAUCUUGGGCCAAUUUUGGAAAAUUGUUGUUGGGCCCAAUUUUAUUAGACACUUGACACUUGGCAACCCUAGGGUUGGGUGGACCCCACCCUAAAUUUUGAGACCACAUGUCUCGUGCUAAGGGAUGUAGUCGUCACAUAUUUUUUGGGGGAAGCUCUUUGUCUCGGCAAUUGGUGAUAAAAAGGGCUGGAAUAUUCGGAGAAAAUGGGGGCCGUCAUUUACUUUCCAAGGCACAUGGAUUUUGGUUGAAGGAACAGGGAGAGCUCACGGCCUUAGGUUGCUACCAGCGUAAGUCAUUUUAAUUUUUGCUUUCCAGCUUUGAACGUAGUCUUUGUUGGAGAAUUUUAAAAACAUUACACUGGUGCAUUUAAUUUUGUAGCAGCCGCCACUUUCAAAAAGACAUUCAAUCUCGACAGAGGUUUUUGGCUGGAAGAUUUUUGCUAGCAUUUAUAUUCUAAAACCACGGUCCAGUGCAUUCCAUUUGGUGACAAGUGUCACGUCCAUUUUAUCAUUUGCUUGCUUUUAUUUUUGCUGAAAAAAAUAGAGUGCAACUGAUUUCAAUAUGGGAAGGUGGUGUCACGCUGUGAGAGGAGCGGUCGCUGCUGUUUCAAUUUAGGAUUUAAGCUCUUUGAUUUCAAGCAUUUUAUUGCUUCUUUGCUGGAAAGAAAAGAAACAUAUUUUUUAUGUCCAUUUGAUGUCACGGUCAGCAACCACUUUUUAGCACAUUAAAUUUGCUUAGUAAAAAGUGAGGAAACAGUGAUAUGAUUCAUAUGAGGAAGGGACGACUGUCACGUGGAGAACAAUUAAAUUUUCAUUUAGGUGAAUGAGAAGAAAAUCGAUGAUGGUCUUUGGGAGAUGGGGCAGCCGCCUCUUUUACUUGUGUUUAAUUUUUGAAGUUUUUUUUUUUAGAUAGAAAUGAGUUUUUGAAGAGGACGCGGGUUACUAGGUGAUGUGUUAGCCUUCUUUUGCAUUUCAGGAAUUGAAUAUUAGAUUAGGUGGGAGUUUAUGGUGAUAUGACGGUAGGUUAGGAAUUUUCUUUUUUUUUUGUGUGUACACUUUCAUUUCUGACAAGAAGCUUUUAUUUUCAAUGCUCUUUGGAAAAGUUUACCAUUGCCGUACGGUAUGCCAACUCAAGCUAUGACUCUUACUCAUAUUCACUGUGUUGUUUAGUGUCUCAAUUUCUUAUACAAUGCAUGUUUAAUUAAUUGUUAGCCAUCCAUUUUCUUUAGUGCCUUAUCUUUAUUUUUAUUUUAAUUUUAAUUCUAAUCUUUAUUUUAAUGAUUUUAAUUAUGCUUAGUUGUGUUUAAUUUCCAUUUUAAUUUAGUUCAUUGCUUAUCACAAAAGCAAUUUCAAACCCCCCCCCCCACUUCGUGUCUGACCUAAUUCUCGAACCACAUUUGGUCCUUGAGAGACGACCUAGGAGUCACUUCCUAGUCUAUACUGCAUUCCUAAUAUGCAAUUAAAUUUGUAUGGGCCGUGACACCCAUCAAAAUUUUGGCGUCGUUGUCGGGGACCAACGGUUCGGUUUUAGGUCUUUUGUUGUGUAGUGUGUGUUGUGCCUUGUGUUGUGUUGUGAGUGUGUCGUUCUGUUCUGUGUGUGAUGUUAUGUGUUGUUGCAUUUAGGAAGCUUUAGUUGCAUAUUUUCAUUGCUUUCUUCUUUUCCCCUUCUGUCUACAUGUCUACCUAUUUUGGCUAUGUGAGUAAUUCUUAUUCUACCUAUGUCUAUGAUUCUCCUUCUGCAUCUGACUCUGAUAUUGCUUCCCAUGCAUAUUCUGCUGAUUUCUAUGUUGAAAACAAUAUGACUCAUCCUCCAACUCCUAAGAGUGCUCCUAGGGAGUAAGCUUCACUUAAUGAGGAUGAUGUUCAUUGCGUUCUCACCUCUGGACUAAUACAUUUGCUGCCUAAGUUUCAUGGUUUUGCAGGUGAGUGCCCACACAGAAACUUGGAGGAGUUCUACACCAUUUGCUCUUCAAAGAAAUCUCCUCAUGUCCCUGAUGAUCAUAUGUUCUUAAGGGCAUUCCCACACUCAUUACAAGAAGCAGCAAGGGAUUGGCUUUAUGGUCUUUGAUGAGUCGUUAUUUUCUUGACUUCACUUAGUUUAUUGUGCUAGAAUUAAUCGGGGAAUUGUGCUUAAUUGUUCGGUAUUUUCCCGUUUUUACUAAUUGUGCUUAAUUUGACCGGAAAUUCUAAUUUUAAUUAAUUUGAAUUUUCUGAGCUAAUUAUUUGCAUUAUUAUUUUCAUGGAAAAUUUUGGAAACACAAUUUGGGACAUUUGGAGGNNNNNNNNNNNNNNNNNNNNNNNNNNNNNNNNNNNNNNNNNNNNNNNNNNNNNNNNNNNNNNNNNNNNNNNNNNNNNNNNNNNNNAAUUAGACAUUUUUAAAAUUUAUUAUAUUGUAAUUUUAAUUACUUAAAUUUUCUAGACAAACUCUUUGCAUCUUGGGCCAAUUUUGGAAAAAUGUUGUUGGGUCCAAUUUUGUAGGACACAUGGCACCACCUAGGGUUUACUUUUAGGGUGGACCCCACCUCAUUUUAGGACACUUGGCCCUAGGGAUUAGAACCCCACCAGCCGCCACUUUUGGAGGACACUCUCCGCUGAAGCA